rnacentral:sRNA from 1 species
AGACACCAAAGUGCCGCCGGCUCAUCAG